rnacentral:rRNA from 1 species
GAUGAACGCUGGCGGCGUGCCUAAUACAUGCAAGUCGAGCGAAUGGAUUAAGAGCUUGCUCUUAUGAAGUUAGCGGCGGACGGGUGAGUAACACGUGGGUAACCUGCCCAUAAGACUGGGAUAACUCCGGGAAACCGGGGCUAAUACCGGAUAACAUUUUGAACCGCAUGGUUCGAAAUUGAAAGGCGGCUUCGGCUGUCACUUAUAGAUGGACCCGCGUCGCAUUAGCUAGUUGGUGAGGUACCGGCUCACCAAGGCAACGAUGCGUAGCCGACCUGAGAGGGUGAUCGGCCACACUGGGACUGAGACACGGCCCAGACUCCUACGGGAGGCAGCAGUAGGGAAUCUUCCGCAAUGGACGAAAGUCUGACGGAGCAACGCCGCGUGAGUGAUGAAGGCUUUCGGGUCGUAAAACUCUGUUGUUAGGGAAGAACAAGUGCUAGUUGAAUAAGCUGGCACCUUGACGGUACCUAACCAGAAAGCCACGGCUAACUACGUGCCAGCCGCCGCCGUAA